ACGGAAGGCAGCAGUGGGGAAUAUUGCACAGUGGGCGGAAGCCUGAUGCAGCGAUGCCGCGUGGAGGAAGAAGGUUUUCGGAUUGUAAACUCCUUUUAUCAGGGACGAUAAUGACGGUACCUGAAGAAAAAGCUCCGGCUAACUACGUGCCAGCAGCCGCGGUAAUACGUAGGGAGCGAGCGUUGUCCGGAAUUACUGGGUGUAAAGGGUGCGUAGGCGGAGAUGCAAGUCAGAUGUGAAAUGUAUGGGCUCAACCCAUGAACUGCAUUUGAAACUGCAACUCUUGAGUGAGGUAGAGGUAAGCGGAAUUCCUAGUGUAGCGGUGAAAUGCGUAGAUAUUAGGAGGAACACCAGUGGCGAAGGCGGAUUGCUGGACGACAACUGACGGUGAGGCGCGAAAGCGUGGGGAGCAAACAGGAUUAGAUACCCUGGUA
rnacentral:rRNA from 1 species